rnacentral:misc_RNA from 1 species
CUACAACUGAAAUUUCAAGAGUUUGUUAGUUUCAAAAGUGAUUAUACAAUUAAAACCAUGGAAUAAACCAUUUAUCUUACUAAUGAUCAUGAAACUAUCAAGCUUUUAACCAAAAAAUAAAGAGACAUUUAUUUCAUACAGUAUUAGUCCAAACUGCCGCAACAUCCUUAACAAAAGAAUGAUUAUAGUUUAAUAAUAAUUAUUUUAAUUGUACAUACCUAAUUGAUGUUUUUUAAUUUCUAAAACGUUACAAAAGCACGCUCUCCAGCUUCAUGACACCGUUUGAGUUUGUUGUCCCAACUCAAAUCAUGGAAAGCAUAUGAAUCAUUAACAUCAUUGAUUGAGAAACUCAGUGGCAUCAUAAAAAAAAAAGAGCAAGCUGCUGCUAAUCAGCCAAAACAAUCCUACUGAAUAUUAAACUCUAUUGAUUCUUGAACAAGGUUGAUGGAACCUUUACGUGAUGUGGCAUUAUCUUGAUAUCAAAGGGUACAUGAAGCCAUGCUUCAGGUGGGUAGAGCAAAAAGUUCUCAGGCUUGCUGGUAUAGACAUCAGCGUAUUGAUGGAUGUGAUAGGCAAAAGCAGAUUCUUGACCUGUAUCAGUGAGGAAAGUGGCUCCAAAAGACUUGUUAAACAUUUUUUUCAUCACCUGUCGUGCCUUCUGCCUCUCCUCAUUUAGCUCCCCCAAAAGCAACUGAUAUGAUUCACUUCUCAUACCAUUAGCUACGGUUGAAUGCAAUUUGCCGAGCAGUUCUUGUAUGAUAUGAAAUUUUGCCUGUUCAAAACGAUAAUUGUCAUCAUUUUGUGUACGAAUUUCAUUUUCUAGUUCGUGGAUGAUGGCUGCAGUGCGCCACCCAGCUUUUGAAGGCCCCCUUAGAUCACUAAAUAGGUGAUCACCAAAGUAUAUCACCUCUGGGCCAUUCCAUUUGGUAAUUUGUAGAAAGGAUUUGAGACAUCCAUGGUAGUAAAUUCUUUUAGGAAGAAACUCAUCCACCUUUGUAAAGGCUAGGGUGUCCUUCUCCAUGUCAUAACAACGGAAUGGAUGCUCAGAUGUAUAGAAUUCUGGCUUAUUGGCUUUAGCAAUCACAACAUCAAAAAGUUCCCUCCACGAGUCUCUGCAACCUAAAGAAUCCUCCAACAUAAAAUCCAUGCCUCCAUCCACAAAAUAAUAAGGAGAGUUAGUCAACAAAAAGAGCUUCUUCCCCUUCUCUCUCAGCAUCCUAAGAAAGUGAAGUAACUGGCCAUUUUUCACAAGAUAUUUACAAGGAUCAGAAAGAAUUCCUCUGUGAACCAACCCACUACGAUGAACAUGUUGAAUUGCACGAUUUACAUCUUGAUAGAUGUAUGACGCAUCAAAUUCCAGCUUAGCAUCAACAAAAUGUUGCACUAUAUCUGCAAUCAGGCAUGCCUCACUAAAGCAAAAGAAAUCCAUCAAGCCAACAAGCCCUCGUGCUUGGUCACGACCAAUGUGUCGCGUGCCAUAUAUUUGUUCUAUUUCUUUCAAACUUAGCUUGCGACGCCCAUAGUAGCAUCCAUCAGGCUCAAUCGACCCAAAGAAAUCCAACUUCAAUAGACAACCAUUUUUCUUGUCAUAGUAGAGGCCUCUAAUGGGAAAAUUCUUAUCAUAACAGAAAUUCAUGCAUAUCUCAGGGUACCUAAACUGCAUUGAUGACAAAAACAAAAAAGGGAAGAACAAAAAAAUAGACACGCAUUCUAACAGCAUUGCAUAAUUUUAGCGGCAACAAAAAGCAACGAAUACCCUAAACUAACCUCAUUAACCAUAUGUUCCUUCGCAAGAUCAUAUAUCAAAUUCUGUAAGUUAGAAGAGUAAUGUGCCAAAGUAUAGUCGUAAUCAAAUCCAUAAACUUGGAUGUGAUCCAGCCGCAUGUUCUUAUUAACAUAUAUGCCUAAUGAAUCAAAUAAGGACAAUUAACACACACAUUUCAGAAACAAAAACUUUAAAAAAAAAUCUCUAAGUUCAGAUAUUACAGAACCUUUAGGAUUCAUUUUCGGCGAUCCCUUAAGGGUCUCGGGAAUCUUGAGAAAGCUUUGUUUUGCUGCAUCAAAUUCACGGCGAAUUUUCGCUAUUUCAUCAACAUCAAGAGUUGAAUUUGCGCCUACUUCAGCUCGCAUAUCUUCCUCCAAUUUCGACAGUGUUGAAUUGACGGCAUUAUAGCUACGACGGGUUCCUCCAAACCCUAAGUUGAGAUAAGCUCCAGAAGAAAAAAUGCUUGUCCUAGCAACGAGCCUACGAAAGGAAGCCAUAACACACAAGCUGGGCACCGGG